CGGGCACCACGUCGUGUAUCUUACAAAGAUCUGAAAAGAAAAGUGACGGAAGAAAUGUUCACUUCUUAAGGUUAAUAUGAGGAAACUGAGGCAGCAAAGGG